rnacentral:rRNA from 1 species
GUGCCAGCAGCCGCGGUAAUACAUAGGGGGCGAGCGUUGUCCGGAAUGACUGGGCGUAAAGGGUGCGUAGGUGGUUUAAUAAGUUAGAAGUGUAAUACCCAGGGCUUAACUCGGGUGCUGCUUCUAAAACUGUUAGGCUUGAGUGUAGUAGAGGAAAGCGGAAUUCAAUGUGUAGCGGUGGAAUGCGUAGAUAUAUUGAAGAACAUCAGUGGCGAAGGCGGCUUUCUGGACUAUAACUGACACUGAGGCACGAAAGCGUGGGGAGCAAACAGGAUUAGAUACCCUGGUAGUCCACGCCGUAAACGAUGGAUACUAGAUGCAGGAGGUAUUCACUCCUUUUGUGUCGCAGCUAACGCAAUAAGUAUCCCGCCUGGGGAGUACGAUCGCAAGAUUAAAACUCAAAGGAAUUGACGGGGACCCGCACAAGCAGCGGAGCAUGUGGUUUAAUUCGAAGCAACGCGAAAAACCUUACCAAGACUUGACAUCAAUAUGCCGAUCAUAGAAAUAUGGUUUCUCUUCGGAGCGUAUUGACAGGUGGGCAG